AUUAAACUGAAGAGUUUGAUCCUGGCUCAGAUUGAACGCUGGUGGCAUGCUUAACACAUGCAAGUCGAACGGUAACAGGUCUUAGGAUGCUGACGAGUGGCGGACGGGUGAGUAACGCGUAGGAAUCUGCCCAUUUGAGGGGGAUACCAGUUGGAAACGACUGUUAAUACCGCAUAAUAUCUGUGGAUUAAAGGUGGCUUUCGGGCUGUCGCAGAUGGAUGAGCCUGCGUUGGAUUAGCUAGUUGGUGGGGUAAGGGCCCACCAAGGCUACGAUCCAUAGCUGAUUUGAGAGGAUGAUCAGCCACAUUGGGACUGAGACACGGCCCAAACUCCUACGGGAGGCAGCAGUGGGGAAUAUUGGACAAUGGGGGCAACCCUGAUCCAGCAAUGCCAUGUGUGUGAAGAAGGCCCUAGGGUUGUAAAGCACUUUAGUUGGGGAGGAAAGCCUCAAGGUUAAUAGCCUUGGGGGAGGACGUUACCCAAAGAAUAAGCACCGGCUAACUCCGUGCCAGCAGCCGCGGUAAUACGGGGGGUGCAAGCGUUAAUCGGAAUUACUGGGCGUAAAGGGUCUGUAGGUGGUUUGUUAAGUCAGAUGUGAAAGCCCAGGGCUCAACCUUGGAACUGCAUUUGAUACUGGCAAACUAGAGUACGGUAGAGGAAUGGGGAAUUUCUGGUGUAGCGGUGAAAUGCGUAGAGAUCAGAAGGAACACCAAUGGCGAAGGCAACAUUCUGGACCGAUACUGACACUGAGGGACGAAAGCGUGGGGAUCAAACAGGAUUAGAUACCCUGGUAGUCCACGCUGUAAACGAUGAGUACUAGCUG
rnacentral:rRNA from 1 species